UCCCGGAGGACUAGUGGUUAGGCCUCGGCACUACCUGCACUACACUGCCGUGGCCUGGGUUCGAUUCCCGGCCAGGGAA